UACGGAGGGGGCGAGCGUUAUUCGGAAUUAUUGGGCGUAAAGGGCGCGUAGGCGGCUUGGCAAGUCAAAAGGUGAAAUCCCCUCGGCUCAACUGAGGAACUGCCUUUGAAACUGCCUGGCUUGAGGCCGGGAGGGGGUAGCGGAAUUCCCAGUGUAGCGGUGAAAUGCGUAGAUAUUGGGAGGAACACCAGUGGCGAAGGCGGCUACCUGGACCGGUUCUGACGCUGAUGCGCGAAAGCGUGGGUAGCAAACAGGA
rnacentral:rRNA from 1 species